rnacentral:lncRNA from 1 species
GUUGACAUUCAUUUUUAGAUCCUGGGCUUAAACCGCAUCAUCUAGCAUUAUUGAUUUAGGGUUUGUGAGUUUGUACGAUAAAUGGGACAUAUGCAGGACAAUUGUGUUCCUUUCAAAUUUGAUUCAUUUCAUCUUCAUAUGUUUGUGCAUUCACGAGAAUGUUAUCUUAGACAUGAAUCAUGUAAAUCUUUUCCUUGAGCUCUUUAUGUAUCUACAAAGUUUACAAGUUUAAAGCUUUCUGGUGCUGGAAAAUCUUAAAGGGAUUUGUUUCGAAUAGAAUUAUAGUUCUCAUAACUAAUCUAUGAUAUUUUGGGUGUGUUUAGUCAUCUAUUGAUUAUUAGUUUCGGCUGAUGUAAUCCAUAUUCAUCAAUUCUCAAGAUUUCUGAUGUGAUGAUGUAUCUGUAUUCAUGUGUGCAGAUGGGAUCGGGAUCAAUCCUCAACAGAGUGCAGGUAACUAUCACAAUGCUAAACACUUGGUUAUUGCGUUUUACUCAAUUCUCUAUCUUUUAUGCCAUUGCAAUUCUCAGUUUUGUUUCUCUCUUGCAUGCUUUGAUUGCCAAUGUACUAAUAGAGUCUUAGAAGAUCACUAGUACUGUCCUUAAUGGUUGCGUGCUUUUCUUUUUUGGUGUUCCUUAGCCUCUAAGUGACUUCAGUGCAGUGUCCAUAGGAAAGCAACCUUUAGAUUAUUUACACACAGUCGGGUUCCGCUGUAAUAUCUCAGCUGUCUUUUUUAUGGUGUGGUCAUUAGCAACAUACAAGUAGAAAUCAAGCUCCUUGUUAAUGAAUGUGGUGUUGUGAAUGAUGUCAGGAAACGUUUUUCUGAAGCACGGAUCUGAACUAAGAUUGAUCCCGCGUGAUAGAGUUGGAGCUGUGUUUGUGAUGGAUCCAUAGAUGAUGUGUAAGCAAUGAUUAAAAACUCAGUUCCAAAAAAAACAUAAUAAUAUACUGAAAUGCUUAUGUACAACUUCGUUGAAUAAAUAUGUAAUCGUCACAAUUGAAGUGAGUUGAAUUUGGUCAAGUUAUAUGUCUGUUAUAAUUCAUAUUUAGAUAACGUAUGUGCACUAAAAAAGAGUAUGGAUCUCUCUGUAUAUGCUAACUCUUGUCAAUAUAAAUAUUUAUCUUGUAAUAUAGUUUUUUUAUUAAAAUAUAUUUUUAACUUUUAUUUUAUUUUAAAGUUAAAACUGUAAGGUUUUUUAUAUUUUUUAAAUAAUAUUUUGGAUAAACUAUUUUUUUGAAGUGUUUUAAGUUUUAUAUUUUGUGUAGACUUUGGAUACAACAUCCAAAACUAAGCGGUGUUUUAGAUUUAAUAUGCUUUACAUAUAAAGUUUUUAAAAUUCGAACCAAAAACUUGAAUAUUAAAUUUACAUAAUAAUAGGAAAAACAAAUUGAAUGUUUGGGAAUCGCUAACGACUGACUAAAUGAUGGAUUCAAAUCCGGUUAGAUUUCAUACCAUUAUGUAAAUUUAGUAUACACAGAAACAAAAAAAAUUUAAAAAACAUACACAACGAAAAAAGCUUUUAAAAAUUCGAAACGAAACAUAAUCAAAGUUUUAAAAACUAUUUUUAAAAAUCCGAAUUAAAAACUUGAACAUUAAAUCUACAUAAUAAUAGGAAAAACAAGUUGAAUAUUUGGAAUCGCUAACGACUAAUGCCGGAUCCAAAAACCGAUUAGAUUUCAUAUCAUUAUGUAAAAUUGACAUUCAAAUAAAUAAAAAUUGAAAUUAAUAAUAUAUAUAAAAAUUUAGUAUAUGAUUAGGGUUUAAGUUUUAGGGUUUAUAUAUAUUAAAAGCUAUUAAAAAAUUAUGAAGGGAUAGAAAUUGACCUGUUUCUUAAUGGGUAGGUGAAUGGGCUUUUUGUUGGGCUGAAUAUGAGAAUCCAAUCCAAUCUCCUCCACCAUCGUGUCUGUCACCAUACCUCCUAAACCAGAGCAUUGAAGAUUCGACGUCUUUUGAUGUCAAACAAAACCUCCUACGACGAGGAAGAGUGAGAGAAGAUAUCAAGAGACGAAGGGAGAAUAAGAAUUAGAAGCAUAUCUUCUUCCACCACGCCACGAAGUUUGAAGAUGAAAUAGAAGCACGAAUCGAGAAAGAAAAUUUUAAAAUCAUCGUUUGACGUUUUUGGUUGGAUACUUAAGAAUUUUAAGAAGUCAUAUUUACUAAAAGUCAAACGCCGAAUGUAGGAAGUAAAAUAUACGAUGUAUAAAUCAUACGAUAGUGGUUAAAAUAUACGAUAUACGAUAAUGAUUGUUAUUAACCCAGAGAAAAAUGCGCUCCUCUACGGAACCUAAACGCUUUAAAACUCCACGAUUGCAAAGGAUAGGAUGAUAGUGAUGAGUAUUUAACAACCUAAUUUUAUAAUCGAUUUUUAAAAAUUUUAAAAUUCCGUAAUUUUGUAAAACGCAGACACAAUUAUGAGUAUGUCACAAAACAAAGCUGAAACAGUGAAACGAAAACAGAGAGCUUUGAUUUUCUUUAUAAAAAAAUUCACCUAAAUGAAAUCUACUUGCUGCCAGAAACAGUAUUUACAUAAGAAAACGAAACAGUCAUGAACAAAUAAAAUUAAAAUUUUAUACACACAGUCUCGGCUAUAAAACAGAACAGGGGCAAAACAGAGAGAUCAUUUGUGGAAACAAAGCGUAGCUUAUCUAGACAAAAGCAUCAAUACGUGAAAGUAGCUAAUCUAGAUACGGAGCGUGUGUCAAGUAUUAACAAUAUUCUAUAUAGCAAGCAAGAUAAGUAACUAAACUCUAAAAUGUACGAAUUCGUCUAUUCGAAAGAAACUAAUAUAAUUAGGAAGAGAUCAAUCACUAACGAAAACAUGAAGAUUAUAACGGAACAAAAAGAGAUGGGAACGGAUCUUACGGAGUUCGGUUUUAAAAUCAGAGUUGGAUCGUCGUGUUUCUGAAACAGUAUCUUCAGUCCUCCGGGGAAAAUAACUGCAAAAGAGACAAAAGCGAUUCAUCACUAGCUCGAACUAAGAAACCUUAAAGAUCAAGAGAAAGGAUCUGCUAUUUCAGUGGAGUUUACCUGAAUGAUUGUUCGAGCAGAGCAUGAUCCUGACUGACUCAUGAGUAGGAGUGAAGGAAGAAAGAGAGAAACUUGACCGAGAGAUGGUGACGACGGUGAUGUCUCUCUCUCAUUAUCUUUUCUAUGAGCAGAAGAAUAGUUGAAAUUUGUAAAGAGAAGGAAGAAAUGUGUUGUUGGUAAU